rnacentral:lncRNA from 1 species
UGAUGCUUUUACCGACAUGCGUCUAAUUGUUUUCCAUCAUUUUUUAUUCACCUAAAAGCUCAGCGCGACAUGUAGUACUUCAAAACAAGUGUAAACAAAAAUUACGAAUGAGACCACAGAUUACAACAAGCUUUAAAGACAAUGUCGAUAUCCCUUAAUAGCGUUCCCUAUCACAGAAUCAUCGUACAUAGAACUUUUUGACCGUAUCGGAAUUAACCGGUGACGGUAACUCCUCUCCAUACAUCCAUUUGAGAAUUAGUGCCCCACCAAAGAAUGCUUUUGUUCACCGCGGGCGGCCUUUCGUAGUUCGGAGUCCAUUUACGUCUAAUCUUUUUGAAUGGGCAAAAUAUUUUUCUAAUGCCGGCCCGCCCUCAUCAAACUCCCUUGAAUGCUUCUUUUGUCGAAUGCCUUCUUCAUUCUUCCUUGGUACAGUUGUUCAUGACACAUGACUGUUGACCCUUUUUUUUUUCAACGAGACUGGGUUGGUCGUAUUAGGCUUGAACCUACUCAGUUUCCUCUAACUGGGUUUCCAUUAACAUCCCAUCUUCCUGGUGGGGUUUUAUCUCUGUAGACCCUCGUUCCACUAAUCUCAAAGUUUUGGAGAGGGUUU